AAAUUCUGGUAAUCGCUGCGGCGCUAGACGUCGUAGAGGAAAGUCCAUGCUCGCACGGUUCUGAGAUGACCGUAGUGUUCGUGCUUACUGAAAAAAUAAGGUAAGGCAGCUGUAAAGGCUGACGGCGGAAGGAAAACCUAAGUCUUAAUGAUAUGGUUGAAACUUCCUGAAAGUGCCACAGUGACGUAGCUUGUUUGGAAACAUGCAAGGUGGAACGAGGUAAACCCCACGAGUGAGAAACCCAAAUUAUGGUAGGGGCACUCUCUUGAAGGAAUUGAACGGAUAGAGGGACAGAGUUCGCUCUGUAGAUAGAUGAUUACUACCCGGCCGUACGAGGCGAUAGCUGUUUGAGUACUCGGGAACAAAACAUGGCUUAUGGAA
rnacentral:RNase_P_RNA from 1 species